GCCUUGAUGGUGAAAUGGUAGACACCCGAGACUCAAAAUUUCAUGCUGAAGAGCAUGGAGGUUCGAGUCCUCUUCAAGGCA
rfam:Triticum urartu cultivar G1812 contig385370, whole genome shotgun sequence.